rnacentral:lncRNA from 1 species
ACUAUAACUUGACUGUUGUCGAUCAUCCAUUUGUCGUUGUUAACCGUGGUCGAGGAUCUACCACCAUCUUCUGAGAUCCACUUCAUCGUCAUCGUAUUCCGUCAUUUCUGCUCCGCCGCCGAUCUACAUGGUCUAGAUCUAUCCUGUUGUCCGAUAUGUUCUAUCUCAGAUCUAUAUCAUCUUCGAAAACCACUCAACGUCUCUAACCACCACUCAUUUUUGUUUGAUGACCUAUCACGACCACCAAAAUUGGGUUAUGGAACCCAAUUUAUCAUAUAUGCACCUUAUCAUAGAUUUGUAUUAAUUUCUUGUUGCUCGAAUCAUUUUUUGCAGCUCAGUUUCUCAUAUAUGCACUCAUCUCAAAUUCGACGCCUUAUUUGCAGAGAAAAAAAAACAUAGCGGUGGGUGGUGGAUGUUGAUAUGUUCUUGGCAAUGUUACUCGUCGGGUCUCGAUUUUUUUUCCAACGAGGGUCCAGCCUGAUUUUUUUUCCAAACACUAGUGUAAGUUUACUUUACCACAUGAUUAGUUUUCAGUCUUUUUUAAUUGUUUAACAAUCCUUUUUUUAUUUUAGGCUGGAGAGAGUGGUAUCAUACUUCCUUAUUUUGUCACAUUGUCACAUAGGCAACACAUCACCAAAGUGUGGUUUCUUGCCACACCCACGGAGUGGUGCCAUACUUUUUUUUAAACAAUUUAAUUUAAAUAAAAACUUUAAAUUUCAUUAAAAAAAAUAAAAUCCAUACAUUC